GGUUAACGCUGGCGGCGUGCCUAACACAUGCAAGUCGAACGGUUCUAAGCGCGAGCUUAGGAUAGUGGCGAACGGGUGAGUAAAAGGUAGGAAUCUACCCCUUGGACGGAGAUAGCUACUGGAAACGGUAGGUAAACUUCGAUAAGCCCGAGAGGGGAAAGUGGUGAGACAGCCGAGGGAUGAGCCUACUCUCCAUCAGGUAGUUGGUGAGAUAAAAGCUUACCAAGCCGAUGACGGAUAACCGGUGUGAGAGCAUGAACGGUCACAAGGGCACUGAGAGACGGGCCCUACUCCUACGGGAGGCAGCAGUGGGGAAUCUUGGACAAUGGGCGAAAGCCUGAUCCAGCGACGCCGCGUGGAGGAAGAAGUCCUUCGGGAUGUAAACUUCUGAACUAGCCGAAUAAAAGGCCUGUGGACACACAGGAGAAGAAAGUAGGCUAGGAAAAGUCCCGGCUAACUACGUGCCAGCAGCCGCGGUAAGACGUAGGGGGCAAGCGUUACCCGGAAUUACUGGGCGUAAAGGGGGCGUAGGCGGUAAAAGAAGUCAUCUGUGAAAACCUAUUGCUC
rnacentral:rRNA from 1 species